GGGCCCGUGGCUUAGCCAGGAUAUAGCACCGGGCUUCUAACCCGGGGGUCGUGGGUUCGAAUCCCACCGGGUCCGCCUG
rnacentral:tRNA from 1 species